AGUGCACGCUGGCGGCAGGCCUAACACAUGCAAGUCGAACGAGUGGCGGACGGGUGAGGACUACAUCGGCAACUACUCUGUCGUGGGGGAUAACGUAGGGAAACUUACGCUAAUACCGCAUACGCUUGAAUGAGCCGAUGUCGGAUUAGCUAGUUGGCGGGGUAAAGGCCCACAAAGGCGACGAUCCGUAGCUGGUCUGAGAGGAUGAUCGGCCACACGGGAACUGAGACACGGUCCAGACUCCUACGGGAGGCAGCAGUGGGGAAUAUUGGACAAUGGGCGCAAGCCGGAUCCAGCCAGACCGCGUGGUUGAAGAAGGCCUUCGGGUUUUAAAGCCCUUUUGUUGGGAAAGCGGUACCCAAAGAAUAAGCACCGGCUAACUUCGUGCCAGCAGCCGCGGUAAUAC
rnacentral:rRNA from 1 species